GGGUUGUGAGGUUAAGCGACUAAGCGUACACGGUGGAUGCCCUGGCAGUCAGAGGCGAUGAAGGACGUGCUAAUCUGCGAAAAGCGUCGGUAAGGUGAUAUGAACCGUUAUAGCCGGCGAUGUCCGAAUGGGGAAACCCAGUGCAAUUCGUUGCACUAUCGUUUGAUGAAUACAUAGUCAAACGAGGCGAACCGGGGGAACUGAAACAUCUAAGUACCCCGAGGAAAAGAAAUCAACCGAGAUUCCCCCAGUAGCGGCGAGCGAACGGGGAGCAGCCCGGAGUCUGAAUCAGCGUGUGUGUUAGUGGAACGGUCUGGAAAGUCCGACGGUACAGGGUGAUAGUCCCGUACACCAAAAUGCACAUACUGUGAACUCGAAGAGUAGGGCGGGACACGUGGUAUCCUGUCUGAAUAUGGGGGGACCAUCCUCCAAGGCUAAAUACUCCUGACUGACCGAUAGUGAACCAGUACCGUGAGGGAAAGGCGAAAAGAACCCCGGCGAGGGGAGUGAAAAAGAACCUGAAACCGUGUACGUACAAGCAGUAGGAGCCUCCAUGUGGGGUGACUGCGUACCUUUUGUAUAAUGGGUCAGCGACUUAUAUUCUGUAGCAAGGUUAACCGUAUAGGGGAGCCGCAGGGAAACCGAGUCUUAACUGGGCGUUAAGUUGCAGGGUAUAGACCCGAAACCCGGUGAUCUAGCCAUGGGCAGGUUGAAGGUUGGGUAACACUAACUGGAGGACCGAACCGACUAAUGUUGAAAAAUUAGCGGAUGACUUGUGGCUGGGGGUGAAAGGCCAAUCAAACCGGGAGAUAGCUGGUUCUCCCCGAAAGCUAUUUAGGUAGCGCCUCGUGAACUCAUCUUCGGGGGUAGAGCACUGUUUCGGCUAGGGGGUCAUCCCGACUUACCAACCCGAUGCAAACUACGAAUACCGAAGAAUGUUAUCACGGGAGACACACGGCGGGUGCUAACGUCCGUCGUGAAGAGGGAAACAACCCAGACCGCCAGCUAAGGUCCCAAAGUCAUGGUUAAGUGGGAAACGAUGUGGGAAGGCCCAGACAGCCAGGAUGUUGGCUUAGAAGCAGCCAUCAUUUAAAGAAAGCGUAAUAGCUCACUGGUCGAGUCGGCCUGCGCGGAAGAUGUAACGGGGCUAAACCAUGCACCGAAGCUGCGGCAGCGACACGAUGUGUUGUUGGGUAGGGGAGCGUUCUGUAAGCCGUUGAAGGUGGCCUGUGAGGGCUGCUGGAGGUAUCAGAAGUGCGAAUGCUGACAUAAGUAACGAUAAUGCGGGUGAAAAACCCGCACGCCGGAAGACCAAGGGUUCCUGUCCAACGUUAAUCGGGGCAGGGUGAGUCGACCCCUAAGGCGAGGCCGAAAGGCGUAGUCGAUGGGAAACAGGUUAAUAUUCCUGUACUUGGUGUUACUGCGAAGGGGGGACGGAGAAGGCUAUGUUGGCCGGGCGACGGUUGUCCCGGUUUAAGCAUGUAGGCGGAGGCUCCAGGUAAAUCCGGAACCUUAUUAACGCUGAGGUGUGAUGACGAGGCACUACGGUGCUGAAGUGACAAAUGCCCUGCUUCCAGGAAAAGCCUCUAAGCAUCAGGUAACAUCAAAUCGUACCCCAAACCGACACAGGUGGUCAGGUAGAGAAUACCCAGGCGCUUGAGAGAACUCGGGUGAAGGAACUAGGCAAAAUGGUGCCGUAACUUCGGGAGAAGGCACGCUGAUGGUAGGUGAAGUGACUUGCUCAUGGAGCUGAACUCAGUCGAAGAUACCAGCUGGCUGCAACUGUUUAUUAAAAACACAGCACUGUGCAAACACGAAAGUGGACGUAUACGGUGUGACGCCUGCCCGGUGCCGGAAGGUUAAUUGAUGGGGUUAUCCUCGCGGAGAAGCUCUUGAUCGAAGCCCCGGUAAACGGCGGCCGUAACUAUAACGGUCCUAAGGUAGCGAAAUUCCUUGUCGGGUAAGUUCCGACCUGCACGAAUGGCGUAAUGAUGGCCAGGCUGUCUCCACCCGAGACUCAGUGAAAUUGAACUCGCUGUGAAGAUGCAGUGUACCCGCGGCAAGACGGAAAGACCCCGUGAACCUUUACUAUAGCUUGACACUGAACACUGGUCCUUGAUGUGUAGGAUAGGUGGGAGGCUUUGAAGUGUGGACGCCAGUCUGCAUGGAGCCAUCCUUGAAAUACCACCCUUUAAUGGCUGGUGUUCUAACGUGGGCCCGUAAUCCGGGUUGCGGACAGUGUCUGGUGGGUAGUUUGACUGGGGCGGUCUCCUCCCAAAGCGUAACGGAGGAGCACGAAGGUCAGCUAAUCCUGGUCGGACAUCAGGAGGUUAGUGCAAUGGCAUAAGCUGGCUUGACUGCGAGCGUGACGGCGCGAGCAGGUGCGAAAGCAGGUCAUAGUGAUCCGGUGGUUCUGAAUGGAAGGGCCAUCGCUCAACGGAUAAAAGGUACUCCGGGGAUAACAGGCUGAUACCGCCCAAGAGUUCAUAUCGACGGCGGUGUUUGGCACCUCGAUGUCGGCUCAUCACAUCCUGGGGCUGAAGUAGGUCCCAAGGGUAUGGCUGUUCGCCAUUUAAAGUGGUACGCGAGCUGGGUUUAGAACGUCGUGAGACAGUUCGGUCCCUAUCUGCCGUGGGCGCUGGAGAAUUGAGGGGGGCUGCUCCUAGUACGAGAGGACCGGAGUGGACGCAUCACUGGUGUUCGGGUUGUCAUGCCAAUGGCAUUGCCCGGUAGCUAAAUGCGGAAGAGAUAAGUGCUGAAAGCAUCUAAGCACGAAACUUGCCCCGAGAUGAGUUCUCCCUGACUCCUUGAGAGUCCUGAAGGAACGUUGAAGACGACGACGUUGAUAGGCCGGGUGUGUAAGCGCAGCGAUGCGUUGAGCUAACCGGUACUAAUGAACCGUGAGGCUUAACCUUACAACGCCGAAG
rnacentral:rRNA from 1 species